rnacentral:rRNA from 1 species
UACGGGGGGGGCAAGCGUUGUUCGGAAUUACUGGGCGUAAAGGGCUCGUAGGCGGCCAACUAAGUCAGACGUGAAAUCCCUCGGCUUAACCGGGGAACUGCAUCUGAUACUGGAUGGCUUGAGAUUGGGAGAGGGAUGCGGAAUUCCAGGUGUAGCGGUGAAAUGCGUAGAUAUCUGGAGGAACACCGGUGGCGAAGGCGGCGAUCCUGGACCAACACUGACGCUGAGGAGCGAAAGCCAGGGGAGCAAAGCGGG